UACGUAGGUGGCAAGCGUUGUCCGGAUUUACUGGGCGUAAAGAGCGCGCAGGCGGUCGUUCAAGUCGCGUGUGAAAGCCCCCGGCUCAACUGGGGAGGGUCACGCGAUACUGAUCGACUCGAAGGCAGGAGAGGGUAGUGGAAUUCCCGGUGUAGUGGUGAAAUGCGUAGAUAUCGAGAGGAACACCCGUGGCGAAGGCGGCUCUCUGGAACGCAACUGACGCUGAGACGCGAAAGCGUGGGGAGCAAACAGG
rnacentral:rRNA from 1 species